rnacentral:tRNA from 1 species
GGUGUCACGCCGGCUGAACGGGUUACUUUGAUGAGGUAGAACAUGUGAACAACUCUCUGAUACCU